GACGAACGCUGGCGGCGUGCCUAACACAUGCAAGUCGAACGGGGGUAUUUAUUUCGAUGAAUACCUUAGUGGCGAACGGGUGAGUAACGCGUGAGCAACCUAUCCUUAAGAGGGGGAUAACAUCUGGAAACAGAUGCUAAUACCGCAUAAGACCACACUGCCGCAUGGCAGAGGGGUCAAAGGAGCAAUCCGUUUAAGGAGGGGCUCGCGUCCCAUUAGAUAGUUGGUGAGGUAACAGCUCACCAAGUCAGCGAUGGGUAGCCGAGCUGAGAGGCUGAUCGGCCACACUGGAACUGAGACACGGUCCAGACUCCUACGGGAGGCAGCAGUGGGGAAUAUUGGGCAAUGGGGGGAACCCUGACCCAGCAACGCCGCGUGAGGGAAGAAGGCCUUCGGUUGUAACUCUGUCAUUAGGAGAAGAAAGUAGACGGUACCUAAUGAGGAAGCCCCGGCUAACUACGUGCCAGCAGCCGCGGUAAAACCGUAGGACGUG
rnacentral:rRNA from 1 species